GGAUUAGAUACCCUGGUAGUCCAUACUGUAAACAAUGAUUGUUAGAUGUAAGAAAUUUAUUUUUUGUAUCACAGCUAACGCGUUAAACAAUCCGCCUGGGGAGUACGACCGCAAGGUUAAAACUCAAAUGAAUUGACGGGGACCCGCACAAGCGGUGGAGCAUGUGGUUUAAUUCGAAGCAACGCGCAGAACCUUACCAACACUUGACAUGUUCGUCGCGAGAAUAAGAAAUUAUUCUUUUCGGUUCGGCCGGACGAAACACAGGUGCUGCAUGGCUGUCGUCAGCUCGUGCUG
rnacentral:rRNA from 1 species